rnacentral:misc_RNA from 1 species
AAAUGCGAUAAGUAAUGUGAAUUGCAGAAUUCAGUGAAUCAUCGAAUCUUUGAACGCACCUUGCGCUCCUUGGUAAUCCUUGGAGCAUGCCUGUUUGAGUAUCAUGAAAUCUUCAAAGUAAAUCUUUUGUUAACUCAAUUGGUUUCUACUUUGGUAUUGGAGGUCUUUGCAGCUUCACACCUGCUCCUCUUUGUUCAUUAGCUGGAUCUCAGUGUUAUGCUUGGUUCCACUCGGCGUGAUAAGUUAUCUAUCGCUGAGGACACUGUAAAAGGUGGCCAAGGUAAAUGCAGAUGAACCGCUUCUAAUAGUCCAUUGACUUGGACAAUACUUUUAUGAUCUGAUCUCAAAUCAGGUAGGACUACCCGCUGAACUUAAGC